UUUCCUUUGGCUCAUAUAGUAGAGCAUUGCGCUAGCAAUGCAAAGGUUUCUGGUUCAAACCCCAGGGAAAG